GAGCACUUGCUUAGCGUGGGACAAGGCCCUGGGUUCCAUCCCCAGCACUACAAAAAAAAGAAAGAAACACACACACACACACACACACACACACACAUAUGAACAUCUCAAUGAAAACCAUUAAUUACCUGAUAAUCUUUCUUCAAGAAGCGAAAGUAGGGGCAGGGUAAGGGACAGGAGCUUUCCGGGCUUUGCUAAGGGGCCACAAUCCUCCUGCCAGGGCAAGCUGCAGUGGCGCCACAUACUUACAAGCCCAGCCCAUGCCCUGCCCAGAGCUUCAGAAGGGCUCCUAAGCCUAUAUUCCUCCAUUGGCCUUCGAUACUGGUGCAUUUCCUAAAGCACAGAACCUUCAUUCUUUUUUCUUUUCUUUUUUUUUAUCACUCAAAUGGAGAAAAGGCAAAACAGUUACAGAGGCUGGUAGAAAUAUACAGUCUGUGGCUAUUUUAAUUAAAAUUAAAGUAGCCAACUGUGAGGAUGGCCUUAGGCCUGAGCUUAAGCACCUCCAUUUUAAAAACUCGAGUUUGAAACCUGCAGUCUCACCAUGCACGCCUAAUGGAGCCCUUCAGUGUGGCCCUCAGACACAAACAAGUCACUUCCCCUCACCCUGAUAAACUCAAGAGUGAACCCUGGCAGGCUAUCCUUGCCCGAUAAUAGGGAAAGGUGAAAAGAUCAGGGUGGGGACCACCAGGUGAGAUGUUUUAACCCCAGAGUAAAAUGAUGUUACUGAGAAAUCCAGUGAUAGCUGAUAAGGAUCGAAAGGGGGAUCAAAAGCCCCAAAAUUUAGUAUAAAUAAUAGAGCAAAGGAACAUUCAGCCAGCCGAUACUGAUGCACACAAGAUGGAGAGCCUGAUGAUGACCUGGACUGACAUCCCAUCACUUGUCAUCGGUUGCUGAUCCUCUGUAUCUUCCUCACCGCUCUCAAACUCUACAGCCACAUCUUGACCCUGGUAUGCCACUGCUCCACAUAGGAAUUCAGUUCCAUUUUGACAGCAACUUAAUAACAGAAUCUUCAGAGAAAUAAGUCCUACCUCAAGCUAAUAAGGGAUAUAUUAAGAGGAAGGAAAGGUCUGCACCUGCUUCCACAUCUUCCAUGUUUUCCAAGAGCAGCAGAAAAUGAAUAAAUCCCUGUGUCCCCUGAGAUAUCCUGCUGAAAAUGCACCACAUUCCUCACCCAGUGAUCUGGAAGAAAGAGGAGAGGUUGUUUGACUUCAUGGAUGCAAUUCUCAGACAUGAAGGUGAGUAAGUUCUUAGACCAAUUUAGAAUCCCAAUUUUAUCUCAACCUUUAUUCUUGACACCCUGAACCAUCAUUUUCAGUUCUAUUUUUUUUUAAGUUGUAGAUGGACACAAUAUGUUUAUUUUAUUUUUAUGUGGUGCUGAGGAUCAAACCCAGUGCCUCACAAAUGCCAGGCGAGUACUCUAUCACUGAGCCACAACCCCAGCCCUUAUUUUUGGUUCUGAUCCUCAGACUUUAUUGAUCCCUACUCCAAAAAUCAUUUCAUACACCCAAGGUCAGGCCCAGAGUUCUGCUUCAUAGCAAGGACUUGAGGUAAUUCUGCUGGUGGAGCAGAACAUACCUGGAAAAUAGCACUCUAGAGUUAAUUCACACCGUGGUCCCUGCCAGUUAUUCCAUUGGAACUUAACCAUGACACAAACAUCACUAACAUAUCAGCAUCAUGACCCAGGAGCUCAGGUGCCUGAUCCCUACCCUAACCCCCAACUGUCUCCCCAUAUGCCUGCUCCUGUUUCGUGUAAAAAGCUCUGGAAGGAACUAAAUGAGGUCUCCCUGCCUACCAGCCUGGUGAAGACUUCAUGGUGCUCUGGUAGCACUGAGUACACACGCUGUCUCUUCAGCUUCGUCUUCAGGCCACAGUGUCUCCACAACCCAGAGGUACUUAGGCUCAAGGUCCAGAUCCUCUAGAUCCUCCUCAGAAUCUGAUGACCACUUCCUCUUCUUCUGGCCAGAGCACUGAAGUUGAAGCCCAAGUUCUACCCUCUGUAUGGAGUCAGAAAACUUGGACAGAUCCACUUCCAGCUUCUCUGGAUCUGAUGACUGCUUCCCUUUCCCCUUCAGGAUAGAGGACUAGUUCUGAAGACUGGGAUCUACCCCCUCAGUGGAGUCACAAAACUGACAACUCCACUUCCAUCUCCUCCUCAGAAUCAGAUGACGACUCCUCUUUCCUCUUUUGGACAGAGGACAGUAUGAAGGCUGGGAGUCCUGCCUUCCAGGUCAAGUCAAAACCCUGACAAUUUCUACCUCCACUUCUGAAUCUGAAGAUGGCACCUCUUUUCUUUUCUGGACAGAAGACAGGCUGAAUCCUGGGUUCUACACUCUGGGUCGAGUCAGAAAACUCUGGCAUAUCCAUUCAUCUUCUUUGAAUUCCAAUGAUCACCCAUUUGCCUCUUCUGGCUGGAAGACUGAGGCAGCAGGUGGGGCUGAGUAAAGAAACCCAAGUAAAGGUGCUGUUUAGAAUUCAGCCUUUCACCACUAAGCCUAAUCCACCACCAGAAAACCCAAACCAGUCAACUCUUCCUUUCUCCUCAGCACAUUUUGCCUUUGUUGAUAACCAUCUGCCCCUGAUUUCCCUUUCCAUGGUCCCAUCUCCCCGUUUUUAAAAACUUAUCCACAUUAUACAAACUUUCUCUUUUGGGGGGAGUGACCCUGCUUACAUCCCCUCUAACCCUUUCCUCUGUUUGGAUCAUAUCUCCAAACCCAGUUCCUCUCUCUGAAGAUUGACCUUCCACGUGGACUUCUUUGACCCACAUCCUGUCCUGUCCUUCUUCCAAACUGGGCUUCCUUAGUCCACCUUUCCUGACUUCUCUAUCCUUUCUUCCAUGCCAGUCACGGUCUCAAAUCUGUUCUCGCUCCAGCUCCCUCAUCGGAUGGUCCUGUAACUUUGUCAUCCACCACUACCUCCAGGCAGUACCCUGAGGUGCUAAGCUGGGAAUUCUGGUCCUCAGUCUUGGCAGACAGUUGACAAGUGGUCGUGAGUUCUCCCAAACUUGCUUCUCUUCCACAAAACCUAGACUCUGAUCUUUGCAAACCCUUCUGCAAUCUGGUUGAACAUGCACCUCUCCAGAUAGAGGAGAAAUCAGCAGUGAUCAGUCCUGAGGAGAGACUUGUCCCCUGUGUGCCAAGGGCCUCUGGAGUCUGUCCCUUCCUCUCUGCACAUUACCAUUUCAGAGCUCAGUCUGGACAAGAGGGAGAAGAAUGUCAAGGAAACUUAAGGAGAACAGAAAUGAUAAGUCCUCUCAAAAGGAAAAUAAUAAAUAUACACAAAAGACCAGGUACAUUGAAUUGUCAGCUGAAAAAUGAAAACCCGUGGUUUUCAAAGCUAUUCUACUAAAUGUCACUGGCUUUUACUGUCUUCAGGAAUCUGUCUUGAGGACACAUUGUAAGCCAUCCUUGAGUUUGGGAGACAUUUUGAGGAUCUAAAAUACAAAACUGCAUGUACUCACAUACUCUUCACACGGUAUCUAUAAUUUGGGGAGUUUAUAUGUCAACUAAAAGUCUGCCUCUCAAUUCCAAUUAAUCUCACUUGCUUAGCAAAUUUGGAAUUCCAAGCAUGGGUUGUGACACACAUAUUUCACUACCACUAUGUACCUUAAAGAAAAAUGUCACAUAUACAAAAAA